rnacentral:tRNA from 1 species
GCCAGUUUUGCUCAGUGGGUAGAGCGUUGGCCUGUGGACCAACCAAGGGUCCUGGGUUCUAUUCCAGUAAUGGCC